rnacentral:rRNA from 1 species
CUAGGAUGAACGCUAGCGACAGGCUUAACACAUGCAAGUCGAGGGGCAGCAUGGGAGUGGCAACACUCCUGAUGGCGACCGGCGCACUGGUGAGUAACACGUAUGCAACCUGCCCCCUACAGGGGAAUAAACCAGAGAAAGUUUUGGCCUAAUGCCCCGUAGUCCUCCUCGCCGCAUGGCGUGGAGGGGAAAGCUCCGGCGGUAGGGGAUGGGCAUGCGGCGCAUUAGCUUGUUGGCGGGGUGACGGCCCACCAAGGCGACGAUGCGUAGGGGUUCUGAGAGGAAGGUCCCCCACACUGGUACUGAGACACGGACCAGACUCCUACGGGAGGCAGCAGUGAGGAAUAUUGGUCAAUGGGCGCAGGCCUGAACCAGCCAAAGUCGCGUGCGGGACGACGGCCCUACGGGUUGUAAACCGCUUUAGCCGGGGAGUAACGGGCGCCACGCGUGGCGCCGUGAGAGUACCCGGAGAAUAAGCAUCGGCUAACUCCGUGCCAGCAGCCGC